UAUUAUGGAGAGUUUGAUCCUGGCUCAGGACGAACGCUGGCGGCAUGCCUAAUACAUGCAAGUCGAGCGAACUGUUGGAAGCUUGCUUCCUUCAGUUAGCGGCGGACGGGUGAGUAACACGUGGGCAACCUGCCCUUCA
rnacentral:rRNA from 1 species